UGCAUGCUGUAGUCUAGCGUAAUAUUAAAGAUCUUGAAACUCUGAACGCUGCUCAUGAAACAACUAAAAGAGGAUGAAGAGUUCUGGAUGGGCAUUCCCAUCCCCAGGCAGGGACCACUGGCCUCUCUUCUGAGCCCUCAUGGCCCUCUGUAACUGCCAUCAUCAAACAGAGAAGACCAACACCUAACAGACAAAUUGCUGUGAUAUUCCCAUUCUCGGUAACUUUAUGCUUAUCCAUGAAGUUCUUCCUCUUCUUUGGAAAUUAAACCAUGAUUAAUUA